rnacentral:lncRNA from 1 species
GCUGGAUCUGCUGUGUGGACUUGACCCUGACCAGGGAGCUCCAAAAACCGGUGAUGAUAACAUGAUGUAAUUGAGAGUGAAAGGAAGGCAACUGAGAGGAUAAGAGAACGUAAACAAGAGCUUUCAGAAGAUGGGCAUAGGACUGAUAAAUGCAGCUGGCAAAAGUCUACCACAUUUGGGCUUUGUAUAGCAAGGACAUCAGAAGAACAGCAUCGUCAGAAGGGAGGGUACAGUGAUUAUGGUGG